rnacentral:rRNA from 1 species
UACGUAGGGACAAAGCGUUGUUCGGAUUUACUGGGCGUAAAGGGCGCGUAGGCGGCGUGUUAAGUCAGCUGUGAAAUCUCCAAGCUUAACUUGGAACGGUCAGCUGAUACUGAUGUGCUAGAGUGCAGAAGGGGCAAUCGGAAUUCUUGGUGUAGCGGUGAAAUGCGUAGAUAUCAAGAGGAACACCUGAGGUGAAGACGGGUUGCUGGGCUGACACUGACGCUGAGGCGCGAAAGCUAGGGUAGCAAACGGG